UGACGGCUGGUUCCACUGCUGACCCGUUGGAUAGAGAGGUAGAUCCAUUCUCCAAUCCUGACGAACUUGCUUCUUCCGGAUCUUGAGGGUCCUCUGCAUUUCUUGUUUGAGUUGCUGCUGGUGACUCUGUUUUAUACACAGACCUGAGAUGCUGAAUUAACACUGACCUGAGUCAAGAAGGAAUUUGCGGGGUGGCCCCACCGUCCUACGGGGCCGUUUCCGUGAGGUAGAGGAAGAUGAUGAAGAACAGGAAGGAGGAGGAGUGCUGUGACUGGAAGCCAAUCUGGACCUGGCCUCUCCAUCCGCUGGCUUAUAAUCACGGUCACCUGAAUGCAAAAUGGAGAUAAACUAAAAAAACGGAAAUUAAAUAUAGAGUACACAAACUGCUCUCCACUGACCUUGAUCAUCAAGAGCUCCUGCAUCAAUGAUGUCAUCUUCUUCCUCUUCUGCUGCCUCCUCCUUCUUGACCUCAGUGACCGCUCGUGCCAUGCUCUCGGACUUUCGAGGACGUCCCCGUCCACGUUUCUUUUGGCCUGGAACACAUACGUGAGAUAGCACAUUCUACAACUGAGCUUGGAUUCUCACAAGAUUUUUUUUUUCACCUUCUGUCAUCUCUGACUUGCUUAGAUUGGGUUUAACAGACUCUGAUCUGCUUUAAGAUAUUUAAAAUAGGGCUGGGCCACAUAGUAAAAAAAAAAAUCAAAUGCAUUAAAUAGCCCAAAUAUCCUCUCUGUAGGAGCAUCUGACGGGGAAAGCUGCUUAAACUUUACAUUUCAACUAUAAAGCCCUUCAUUUAAAGCAUAUAUUAUAAAAUAUUAUUCAGAUGUGGUCGUAUCAAAUAACUGUAUAUCCAUAAACUAUAUGCCUCAUACCAAUAUCACAACUUUUAUGGCGCCCUGGGCCAACCACCCCUUCUGCCACGUCUACAUGAAAUUAAAUUUACAUAUUUAUCUAUUUUAUAUAAAUGUAUAUAUUUAAAUCAUUCAGGAAAAUAAAAGAAAAAGUACAAUAAAUCUUCCCAAAACUGCACAACUGUACAGUAAAAAAAUUAAUAAAAUAAGUGAUGUUACAUAUGUUUAAAAAUAAAGUACAUUACAAAAUCA